UUUUUUUUUUUUUGCCUUUUUGUCCUUUUAGAGCUGCACCCACAGGAUAUGGAGGUUCCCAGGCUUGGGGUCUAAUUGGAGCUGUAGCCGCCAGCCUACCUCAGGGCCACAGCAAUGCGGGAUCCGAGCCAUGUCUGCAACCUGCACCACAGCUCACGGCAAUGCUGGAUCCUAAACCCACUGAGCAGGGCCAGGGAUCAAACCCGCAUCCUCACAGAGAUGUCAAGUUCUUAAACUGCUGAGCCACAGUGGGAACUCCUUCUGGCUUUUCUUAAAUGCCUCAGUUUUUCCAUCCAUAGUACCUGGGCAGAGUUCAUUAGAACUUGUCAGAGUUCGUUACAACAAAUUAUGUCAUUGGCUUUCAUGCAGCAAUCAAGCCCAUACUGUGUGGCAGACACUGUUCUUUUUGCAAAAAAUACAACUGAGAAAGGCAUAUUCCCAAUCUCACAGAACUCACAUUUGUUCCAAAUAUUUUUAUUCCUAUCCAAUCACUGAUAUGACAUUCUCAGGAACCACUAAGGACACCCAAAGUCACUAAGUCAACCAAUCCAACAAAUAUUUGUUGAAUAUCAACAAUGUGCAAGGCACUGUUCUAGAUGCAAUGAGAGAAAAAAUGUCCCUCACUAAAUCUAUGAUGCAAGAGGAUAGAGGUCAUGUCACUGCACUCUGUGUCUUCAAAGUCUAGCAUAGUGCCUGAUACUCAGCAGAUGCUCAAUAUAUAAUUGUUGAAUGACCAAAUGAGUGAGUUUGUGAGUGAAGAAAAAUCAUGUGCCCUGCUCUCAGAGGACUGGAAUCUAAUGGGGACUUUAAAGCAUCUGAAAAUCUGUGUAUCUAUGCAUCAACUACAAUAAAUCACAGUAUGUUAUAAAAAGACAUGAAGCAUACAAAAGAAUUAAAAGCAUGAACUCAGAUACCUGGACACCAAUGUUCAUAGUAACAUUACUCAAAAUAGCCAAUAGGGAGAGACAACCCAAAUGUUCAUCAGCAGAUGAAUGAAUAAGUAAAAUGUGGUAUAUCCAUGUGAUGGAAUAUUAUUCAGCCUUUAAAAAGAAGGAAAUUCUGAAACAUGAUGCAACAUCCAUGAACUUUGAAGACAUUAUGUUAAGUGAAAUAAACCAGACACAAAAGGACAAAUAUUUUAUGAUUCCAGAUAUGAGUUACCUAGAAUAGGAAAAUUCAUAGAGACAGAAAGUAGAGUGAUAGUUACCAGCAACUGGGAGGAGAAGAAUUGAGGAGUUAGUGUUUAAUGGGUACAUAGUUUCUCUCUGGGAUGAGGAGAAGGUUCUGGAAAUGAUGGUUGAUGUGAAGGCAUUUAAUACCACUGCAAUGUACACUUUAAAAUAAUUGAAAUGGCAAAUUUUAUUAUAUUUUGCCACAAUAAAGAAAUAAUGAUAGUUAUAAAAAGACAUGAAGGAGUCUGGGAGGCUGCCUGGAUCAAUCAAGAAGAGGGUUCCUAGAGGUGGUAUUGUUUGAGUUUGCUCUUCCUUUUAAUGUCUACAAUAAAAAGUAAGCAUUAUUUUCACGUUUCACCAGUUAUAUGUGUCUCCUUCCUGUACAAGAAACUGAUAAGAGCCAUUGUUGCUGGGGACAGGCACUGGAAGUCUGGAGGGUUAGGGAUCUAAUGGCCUGAGGUAGGAAAUGAUUUAAUUUCACUAUACAUUUCUUUCUUAUUUUGAACAUUUAUUCCCUUCUUGUUUAAAAUACUAAUAUUAAAAUAAAUUUUAAAACAAAUGACUCCUGAUCCUCUUUAUAAAGAUUCCCUAAAUGCGAUCUGAAAUGUACAUCAAUUGCCUCAGUUUCCUCUACUCCUUUUAUUCCAAGGAA
rnacentral:lncRNA from 1 species